rnacentral:sRNA from 1 species
GAAGUAUCUGUGAACGGCAGAGCCAGUCAAUUGGAGCGCGGUUGAUCGCGGCUCGAUCGAGCGACAGCGAGCUCAGCUAGCG